rnacentral:tRNA from 1 species
GCAUUGGUGGUUCAGUGGUAGAACCCUUGCUUUUCAUGAGGGAGACCUGGGUUUGAUUCCUGGGUGAUGCA